CUUGCUACAGGCUUAACACAUGCAAGUCGAGGGGCAGCAUUUCAGUUUGCUUGCAAACUGGAGAUGGCGACCGGCGCACGGGUGAGUAACACGUAUCCAACCUGCCGAUAACUCGGGGAUAGCCUUUCGAAAGAAAGAUUAAUACCCGAUGGUAUAAUCAGACCGCAUGGUCUUGUUAUUAAAGAAUUUCGGUUAUCGAUGGGGAUGCGUUCCAUUAGGCAGUUGGUGAGGUAACGGCUCACCAAACCUUCGAUGGAUAGGGGUUCUGAGAGGAAGGUCCCCCACAUUGGAACUGAGACACGGUCCAAACUCCUACGGGAGGCAGCAGUGAGGAAUAUUGGUCAAUGGGCGCAGGCCUGAACCAGCCAAGUAGCGUGAAGGAUGACUGCCCUAUGGGUUGUAAACUUCUUUUAUAUGGGAAUAAAGUUUUCCACGUGUGGAAUUUUGUAUGUACCAUAUGAAUAAGGAUCGGCUAACUCCGUGCCAGCAGCCGCGGUAAUACGGAGGAUCCGAGCGUUAUCCGGAUUUAUUGGGUUUAAAGGGAGCGUAGGUGGACAGUUAAGUCAGUUGUGAAAGUUUGCGGCUCAACCGUAAAAUUGCAGUUGAUACUGGCUGUCUUGAGUACAGUAGAGGUGGGCGGAAUUCGUGGUGUAGCGGUGAAAUGCUUAGAUAUCACGAAGAACUCCGAUUGCGAAGGCAGCUCACUGGACUGCAACUGACACUGAUGCUCGAAAGUGUGGGUAUCAAACAGGAUUAGAUACCCUGGUAGUCCACACAGUAAACGAUGAAUACUCGCUGUUUGCGAUAUACAGUAAGCGGCCAAGCGAAAGCAUUAAGUAUUCCACCUGGGGAGUACGCCGGCAACGGUGAAACUCAAAGGAAUUGACGGGGGCCCGCACAAGCGGAGGAACAUGUGGUUUAAUUCGAUGAUACGCGAGGAACCUUACCCGGGCUUAAAUUGCAUUUGAAUAUAUUGGAAACAGUAUAGCCGUAAGGCAAAUGUGAAGGUGCUGCAUGGUUGUCGUCAGCUCGUGCCGUGAGGUGUCGGCUUAAGUGCCAUAACGAGCGCAACCCUUAUCUUUAGUUACUAACAGGUCAUGCUGAGGACUCUAGAGAGACUGCCGUCGUAAGAUGUGAGGAAGGUGGGGAUGACGUCAAAUCAGCACGGCCCUUACGUCCGGGGCUACACACGUGUUACAAUGGGGGGUACAGAAGGCAGCUACCUGGUGACAGGAUGCUAAUCCCAAAAGCCUCUCUCAGUUCGGAUCGAAGUCUGCAACCCGACUUCGUGAAGCUGGAUUCGCUAGUAAUCGCGCAUCAGCCAUGGCGCGGUGAAUACGUUCCCGGGCCUUGUACACACCGCCCGUCAAGCCAUGAAAGCCGGGGGUACCUGAAGUACGUAACAGCAAGGAGCGUCCUAGGGUAAAACUGGUAA
rnacentral:rRNA from 1 species